rnacentral:rRNA from 1 species
AUUGCCCUAGUAACGGCGAGUGAAGCGGCAACAGCUCAAAUUUGAAAUCUGGCUCUUUCAGAGUCCGAGUUGUAAUUUGCAGAGGGCGCUUUGGUGUUGGCAGCGGUCCAAGUUCCUUGGAACAGGACGUCACAGAGGGUGAGAAUCCCGUACGUGGUCGCUAGCCUUCGCCGUGUAAAGCCCCUUCGACGAGUCGAGUUGUUUGGGAAUGCAGCUCUAAAUGGGAGGUAAAUUUCUUCUAAAGCUAAAUACUGGCCAGAGACCGAUAGCGCACAAGUAGAGUGAUCGAAAGAUGAAAAGCACUUUGGAAAGAGAGUCAAAUAGCACGUGAAAUUGUUGAAAGGGAAGCGCUUGCAGCCAGACUUGCCUGUAGUUGCUUAUCCGGACUUUUGUCCGGUGCACUCUUCUGCGGGCAGGCCAGCAUCAGUUUGGGCGGUUGGAUAAAGGUCUCUGUCAUGUACCUCUCUUCGGGGAGAACUUAUAGGGGAGACGACAUGCAACCAGCCUGGACUGAGGUCCGCGCAUCUGCUAGGAUGCUGGCGUAAUGGCUGUAAGCGGCCCGUCUUGAAACACGGACCAAGGAGUCUAACAUCUAUGCGAGUGUUUGGGUGUCAAGCCCAGACGCGUAAUGAAAGUGAACGGAGGUGGGAACCCUUUGGGUGCACCAUCGACCGAUCCUGAUGUCUUCGGAUGGAUUUGAGUAAGAGCAUGGCUGUUGGGACCCGAAAGAUGGUGAACUAUGCUUGAAUAGGGUGAAGCCAGAGGAAACUCUGGUGGAGGCUCGCAGCGGUUCUGACGUGCAAAUCGAUCGUCAAAUUUGGGCAUAGGGGCGAAAGACUA